rnacentral:lncRNA from 1 species
CUAAAUAAUACUGCUGGUUAAAAAUAUACUUGCUACUCACAUGCAGAGUCAGUUCAUUCCAAUUUUCCAUGGGCUCCGGAACCACAGAAACGUGGUCCCGACAUUUCGUGAGAGAACCAAAAGGAUCUCCGCCUUCUGCCGUGCCCUUUCGUGGCCCAAAACGAAUUUGGGAUAUAAAAUACGGGUACUCGACCUUUCGGAAUCGCUUGCGUAUAUAUGUACAUACGAAACGUUAUUUCCGUACGGGUGGAAACCGUAUAAAUAUGGAAGGAAAUGACGAAUCGACUCUUGUGGAAUUCAUCAAGAUAAAAAAACAGCCGAAAGAACAACAAUUUUCUGCUUUGUUGUUGUGUCCGGGACACAAAGAGGCGAAAAAUUGACGACAAGUUCUGAGAGGGUCGACCGGGACCGAGCGACGGAAGAAAUUUGACACAGACUAAAAGGCACUCUUGAAACAAACACUGCAAGUACCUUCGAAGGUAAUAAAGGGCGAAAGAAUAUGAACUGACGAGAUGCUAUGGUGACUUAGUCACAAUUAUCUGACAGGAAUGUUAGUCAGAUAGAGCAAGUAUCACGCCGGGCGGGGUGAGAGAGAACCACGAAUACACACAUGAUGACUUCGAAAUUUACGCCUUGGGCGCGCUACGCAAAAACUCGAAAUUCACAAGUUCUGUCUUUGUUGCCUGGUGAAGUAGACCCUCGAUGUCGAGCCAGGCAGCUCGCGAAUCGAACGCGUCGGAAUUUGGUGUGUUGCGCGCGCAGAAUAUCUUCGUAGAAAUAGACCAUGCCAUUACGAGUUGAUUGGUUAGGGUUUAGGGGUUCAGGGUUAAGUUAAGCGUUACGUACGUAGCUUUCAUAUGUUUACAAUAAUUGUUUGCUUCUGAUACCUGUGCGCGUCUGUGGGGAAGUGACUUCGGAGUGUAUUUGCCUUUACAACACAUACGAAGCUAACGGUCGAAGGUAAUAAAUACGAAGGUACGAAGCAAGGUAGAACACAGUCACGUCAGAGUAUGGUAUUUUUAUAUACUAGUCUAUUGUUUCGCUGAUUCUUUCCUGCUGGAUUAAUCACCUGUUGCAGGAUCGUGACUGUGUCAGUAACACAUUCACGCAUACUGUACGAAACUUAAGGUACAUAUGGUCGAAAGAUCGUUCGUCGUAAAAUAUUUACCUUCGAAGGUAAAUAUGAUGUGUCGAAUGAAAAAUAAAUAACAUUAACGCAACGAACGAAAAGCUAUUUAUUACGAAGGUAUGGAUACCUUCGUACAUACGUACGAAUGAAGGUACCCCUUCGUACCUUCUUCGUACGAAAGUACGAACGAAGGUAUACAUAGACUAUAUAUAUGUAACGAACGAAAUGAUGAACUUCGA